rnacentral:rRNA from 1 species
GACGUAGGGGGCUAGCGUUGUCCGGAUUUACUGGGCGUAAAGGGCGCGUAGGCGGCCUGUUAAGUGUGGAGUGAAAGCCCUGGGCUCAACCCAGGAACCGCUUCGCAUACUGGCGGGCUAGAGGGUCGCAGAGGCUUGUGGAAUUCCCGGUGUAGCGGUGAAAUGCGCAGAUAUCGGGAGGAACACCAAUGGCGAAGGCAGCUCGCUGGGACGGUACUGACGCUGAGACGCGAAAGCGUGGGGAGCAAACAGG